CACAAAUCACGCAACCACCGGAGGAGGGCCUAAGCCGGAAGAGACCUGUUCUAGCUGGAUCUAUCUCCGCCUGUCUCUAGGUUGAAAAUAAAACUCGGAACUUCUCUGCCAAUGAGCUCCGCCAGGCCCGAUGACGUCCCGGCACGUCAGUUCUAUUUGCAGGCAAGGUCCCUGUACCCCAGGGCAAUCAAUCAAUACCUGAGUCUGAAUUAGAUCCAUUUGGGAGUUAUCUAUUUAAAGGCAGCAGACUUCCAGACACCAAAGGCCGGGCCUACGUUCCAUAUUUUGUCUAGCAACUUCUUUGCUUUGGGGUACUUAACGAUGAAGACAAUGACGGUGACAAUGACGUCAACCACGAGAGAGGAAGUGGGAGAUGAUUAAACAUCCUUUUAUUCUCUGAGGCUGUGGAACUGCUUAAAACAGCUCAGAAUGAGUCACAGCAAGACGGCUCACUUAUCUUGAAAUCUUCACGAACCAGCAGAAUCCAGUCAGAAUCCUCAGGCAGCCAUGCUUCCGAGAAGACAAGACACGUAGCAGAGAGGGCACGCGCCAGAGCUCUGGUUGAGAAUUCGUGGAGUUGUUGUACCGUCUGCCUUCAGAGUACUUUUUCUUGUUUUAUGUCUCCCUUGAGGGACUGAGGAGUUGACUCAGGUAGAUAAAGAACUUUUGAUGUGCACCCGAGGACUAGGGUCAGCCUCCCCAGCACUUGGGCAGAUGCUGGGCAGGAGGCAAUGACGGGAUCCCUGGAACAAGCUGGCUAGUGAGACUAGUCAGAUUGAUGAGAUCUGGCUUCGAGUGGGAGACCCUGCCGCAAUAUAUUAAGUAGUCAGUGUUAAUCUAUGGGUGCACAUCUACACGUGGACCUGUGCACACACACAUACCUGCAUAUGGAUAAACAUGCAAAGACAAAGCCAUGCACACAUACAGACACUGAAAACAAAACCCAUCUCCCCUUUAUCGGUGUGAUUUCAUCCCCCCCACCCCCCACCCCUGGAACCAAAAUAGCCGAAGAGCGGAGUACAAAUGGGCUUCCGAGGACCAACAGGAACUUGGGAGAAGUAUUAACCACAGGUAAAAGAGGCCAGAGGCAGACUUUAAGGGAAUACAAAGGCUGCAUGCUGAGGCUUUUCACAUUUAGAACAACAAGCUCUACACAGCCUCCCAAACCCGACUGACACUAGCAAGUACUGUUACGGGCAGAAUGCUCUCCCCACCAGCAGGACGGAGAUAAUGAGAGAGUCCCCUGCUUACAAAGGAUGUCUGGAGUCGUUUGAGAACCGGUUAUGUCAAGGAGGCUUUCUGAAAUCAUUUUAGCAUUAGCAAAGCAGCCUGUGUUGAUCAGAGAUGGCAGAAGCCACGGAGACACGGGAGAAGUGAGUCAUCACUUCAUCUGAGGUGGAAUAGGACAGUCACCGUUCCGCAGGCCUUGCCCAUCAAGAGUGUGCAGUCUGAAGGAACUCGGUGCUCACAGGAAUACAUUUGGCUAGGCAUUUUAUCUUAAUGUGUGGGGAAACAAAAACCUACCAAAUACAACAUGGGCUCCUCAUCCAUGAAAAAUGCAAAUGGACUAUGAUGAUAUUUAAGUGGAUGGAAGAGCAAGAGAUGAAAGUACUUUAAAGUAGUUCAAGCUGGAAAACAAUUUUCUGUUGGUAGAAGAGUCUCCUGUAGCCCAGGCUAGCUUGAAACUUGCUUCAAGGCAAAGAUAACCUUGAACUUCAACACACACACCCCACAAGUCCUGGAAAAUGCAGAGAAGCAGCUUGGAAGAGGGAGAUGGUGACCAUCAGAUUCUCUUUAUUUCAUGACCCUCACACGAAACCAUCAUUUCCCCGAUGCAACCAAACAAAGGACAAGGAAGGGACCACAAGGGACACCUGGUUACGGUUUGGAACGAAAGAUGGGAAAAGACUCCUGAGUUCAUGAAAGGGAAAGCCCUCCAACAGGGUAUUUCAAGAAGGAAUAAAGUACAGAGAAAGAAAGAGCAAAGGGUUGACAGACAAAAAAACGAAAGCUCGUCCUUUAAGUGAGACAGAAGCGAAGUGAGGGAAGCGAUGGGAAGACGCUCAAGGCUGAUGUGAGUGGUCCCACAGACCUGGAAGCUUCACAGGUGUCUUCGCAGCCACCUCUCUUCCUGGAGACAAGAUCACAGGGUGGGGAAUACAUAGGACUGCAAUGUUUUCAACACUGUGUGUGUUUAGCGGUGCUUCUGAACUGGCUGUCGUUAACUAGUGUGUUAGCUUUUUGUCACCCUGCCUGUAUUAAGAAAAUGAUCUAGUAAAUAGCUUAUUUAAAGUAACAAACUUUCAAAUCUUCCACACUUUUUCCCCCUCAACAAAGUA